AUGGAGGGGAUCCAGAAGACACUGGAGGAGUUGUUGACCAAAUUUUCGUCGCUGUCGACAGAGGUUCAGCACUUGAGCACGACCGAGUUCGGCGACGGCCUGGAUGCGGUCAAGCGGACGCAGGCCACGGAAGCGGCGGCGUGUCUGGCCGCGUCGUGCUCGACGGCAUCCACCGCGGUGUUGUACAUGGAGGGGCACGCCGCGCUCUGGUGCCAAGCCCACAAGCGUGUCCAUGGCGACUGGUACGCGUUCACUGCUGCAGUUCAGGCAGAGUUUGGUCAGGAUGAGUUUGAUGCCCUGCUGCAUCGUCUUCAUCAUCUCAAGCACACGGACACCGUAACAGAGUACCGACACGCUUUUAAGACUCCGGAAUCACUACAGGACCUGCCCGCAGAGCAUCAGCAUUUCACUGACAUGCUCAAAGACCACCUGCAGCGCGGCCAGCAUCACAUGAAGCACCAAGCUGAUCGCAAGCGCACAGAGCGGGAGUUCAACGUGGGCGACCAAGUGCUGCUCAAGUUACAGCCCUACGUCCAGUCAUCGAUGGUCAACAGGCCAUGUCUGAAGCUCGCCUACAAAUUCUUCGGACCAUACACAAUCCUCAGCCGCAUUGGAUCGCUCGCCUACAAGUUGGAUCUGCCACAGGAAAGCAAAAUUCACCCGGUUUUUCAUGUUUCGCAGCUGAAGCCGUACACAGCGGACUACUCGCCAAUCUUCAAUCAGCUACCAGUGCCACCGGACCUCACCAUCGGUGACCUGGUGUCGCACGCUAUUCUAGAGCGCCGCCUGGUCAAGAAAGGGAAUGCCGCCAUCCCACAGGUCCUGGUACAUUGGCGUACCUUGUCACCAGCGAGUGCGACCUGGGAGAACUACCAUGUGUUGCAACAAAAAUCCCAAACAUGGAUCUCGAAGGGGGAGCUCCACCUCAAGCGGGGGAAAAUGUCACGCCCUUCCCUCCAGAGAGGAAGGUGGACAAUGAGGCACCCACGGUGCGAGACGAAGAAGAGGAAGACUAGGGCCCACGGGCAGUGA
rnacentral:rRNA from 1 species